rnacentral:rRNA from 1 species
UACGUAGGGUGCAAGCGUUAUCCGGAUUCACUGGGUUUAAAGGGCGCGUAGGUGGGCUAGUAAGUCCGUGGUGAAAUCUCCAAGCUUAACUUGGAAACUGCCGUGGAUACUAUUAGUCUUGAAUAUUGUGGAGGUAAGCGGAAUAUGUCAUGUAGCGGUGAAAUGCUUAGAUAUGACAUAGAACACCGAUAGCGAAGGCAGCUUGCUACACAAUCAUUGACACUGAGGCACGAAAGCGUGGGGAGCAAACAGG